GACAGAGGUGCCGAGCGUUAGGCGGAAUCACUGGGCUUAAAGCGUGUGUAGGCGGGCCGUUAAGUGUCUUGUGAAAUCCCCCGGCUCAACCGGGGAAUGGCUGGGCAUACUGGCGAUCUUGAGCAGUCUAGGGGCAGAUGGAACAAGUGGUGGAGCGGUGAAAUGCGUAGAUAUCACUUGGAACGCCAAAGGUGAAAACAGUCUGCUGGGGACUUGCUGACGCUGAGACACGAAAGCCAGGGGAGCGAACGGG
rnacentral:rRNA from 1 species